GCAGUCGUGGCCGAAUGCUUAAGGCGACGGACUAGAAAUCCGUUGGAGUAUCUCCACACAGGUUCUAAUCCUGUCGACUGCG